AGUGAACGCUGGCGGCAGGCCUAACACAUGCAAGUCGAACGGCAGCACAGGGGAGCUUGCUCUCUGGAUGGCGAGUGGCGGACGGGUGAGGAAUACAUCUGAAUCUUCCCAGUUGGUGGGGAUCACGUAGGGGAACUUAUACUAAAACCGCAUACACACUUCGGGUGAAAGAGGGGGAUCGCAAAACCUCUCGCGAUUGACUGAGUCGGAGUCGCAUUAGCUAGUUGUUGGGGUAAUGGCCCACCAAGGCGACGAUCCGUAGCUGGUCUGAGAGGAUGAUCAGCCACACUGGAACUGAGACACGGUCCAGACUCCUACGGGAGGCAGCAGUGGGGAAUAUUGGACAAUGGGCGAAAGCCUGAUCCAGCAAUGCCGCGUGAGUGAAGAAGGCUUUCGGAUUGUAAAGCUCUUUUGUUAGGGAAGAAAGGUUGUAUGGUAAUACCCUGUGUGGAUGACGGUACCUAAAGAAUAAGCACCGGCUAACUUCGUG
rnacentral:rRNA from 1 species